CAAAAGACCAAUAAUUUUUGAUUACCCGCCCAUUAUUCCCUCUUCUUCCCAUUUCUGUCGCGUGCCCUAAAUCCCCCAAGUAAUCUUUUUUCCUUUUACUCUGAAAAUUUGCCCCCAAAUUUCCCAUUUCCAACAACACCAAAUGUCUAAGGACGACGAGAGGCAGCAAUCUCCGCCGUCGAAUCUUCUUCCCUAAUAGAAAAACUAUAAACUCUUUUUUGCGUGUGUAUGAACUAAAUUUUUUUGUCAAUAAAUGAAAUUCUUUGAAGAUAAUACAAUCUUUUAUAAAAAUUUAUUUCCGAAUUAGGGCUCUUGAUUUCUUUCUCUGUCAGCAAAUUGGUCGAAUUUUAUUUUUGUUUUUAUUUGAAGUUGAAGGAAAAGCAUAGCAUUUGGCGUACAAGUGAUAGCUCACAAUUUUCUUAUGUAUUUUGUUCCCUACUUUUUUAAGCCAACCAUUUUGCUUCAGAAUCUCUUUGCGUUGGGAACCUUUUCAAAGUUCUUACGCUUUUUUGGCCUCUGAUAUUUGCCCAGCCAAGUCAGUAUAUCAAUACCCUUCUGGUGCCCAAAGGUGGUGAAAUUCCCAUAGACAUCCAAAGUUUAUCUUCACAAGGAAUCUUUGACGUGGUCAUUUUUAACUCCAUACAUGACCCAAAAGUGGGCACAAUUUUUGAUCCAGUCUCAUUGAUAAAUGCUCUUGGCAAUGUGUUUGGGGUGGAAUUGAGCAAAGGCUUCAGAACUGUGAUUUCGAGUUGAGUUAUGCAUUGGCUUUCUCAAACGUUCUCGCCAGCAAAAGGAAAUUACAAGGGAACAAGCAGUUCAAGAUCUGAAGUUUGUUGAGAAGGAUUAUAAGUUAGCUGAUACGGUUAUUAGAGGGUUGUUGAAGUAUUGGCCUUUGACUAAUUGUCAGAAGGAAGUUCUCUUCCUCGGGGAACUUGAGGAAGUACUUGAAGCAAUACAGUCUGUGGAGUUCCAACGAUGUAUGGUUCCGCUUUUCAGACAGAUUGCACGUUGCCUCAAUAGCUUACAUUUCCAGCGUAUAACUAUUCCUGAAAUUCUACAAGAUGAAUGGUUCAAGAAAGGGUACAAGCCACCAAAAUUUGAGCAAGAUGAGGAUGUAAAUCUUGAUGAUAAUAUCUUAUAUUUUACAUGUGAUUCAGGUGUGUUCCAGGGGCGGAUGUAAAGCCUUCGAGCUUGGCAUUCAGUGCCAAGGUGUGUUUCAGAGGGAUGUUAGCCUAUAGGCUUGGCACUUGUUGCCCAAGUGUGUUCUCGGAUGGUUAGCUCAUUUGAGCAUUUUGAUACGUUCUUGUAGAAACGGGCGAUCGGAUUGACUCAAAGAAUCACACUAUCCGGAAAUCUUUUGGUAGUUUUUAAAUGUUUAACUUGGGUUAUAUUUAAUGUAGUAGGUGAAUUGAUUUUAUGUUGGUUAUUUGUGAAGUUGUUAAACUUAAAUGGUGUUUGCCUUCAGUUAGUUCUUUUAGGAUACAUGUAAAUAUGUGUUGGUGUGGUAUAUAUGUAUGACUGGAACUCAAUUUGGUAUAUGUAGUAUAAGCUUUAUAAAA